rnacentral:misc_RNA from 1 species
UAAUAAGUGUUUUAUGGCACUUUUUAAAUCCAUAUCCCACCUUGUGUGCAAUGUCGGUCGAUCUUCUUUUUUUGAGGAUCGACCAAACAUCAACCUUUAUCUUUUAACUCUUUGUCUGAAAAAUAUUAUGAAUAAACAAUUCAAGAUA